rnacentral:rRNA from 1 species
GAACGGCAAGGGGGAGCAAUUUCCCCCUAGAGUGGCGGACUGGUGAGUAAACGCGUGGUGACUGCUUGAGGUUGGGGAUAGCCGUUAGAAAUAGCGGGUAAUACCGAAUGUGGUUGGGGUGUUAUGACGCCCUAAAGAAAGGGGCUUUGGCCCCGCCUUGAGAUGGGCCCGCGUCCCAUUAGCUUGUUGGUGAGGUAAAGGCCCACCAAGGCUCUGAAGGGUAGCCGGCCUGAGAGGGUGAACGGCCACAUUGGGACUGAGAUACGGCCCAAACUCCUACGGGAGGCAGCAGCUAAGAAUAUUCCGCAAUGGACGAAAGUCUGACGGAGCGACGCCGCGUGGAUGACGAAGGCCGAAAGGUUGUAAAAUUCUUUUGCGGAUGAAGAAUAAGUCGGGGAGGGAAUGCCCCGGCGAUGACGUUAGUCCGUGAAUAAG